GACGAACGCUGGCGGCAUGCCUAAUACAUGCAAGUCGAGCGAACAGAUGAAGUGCUUGCACUUCUGACGUUAGCGGCGAACGGGUGAGUAACACGUAAGGAAUCUACCUAUAAGCGGGGGAUAACAUUCGGAAACGGGUGCUAAUACCGCAUAAUAUCUUCUUCCGCAUGGAAGAAGAUUGAAAGACGGCUCUGCUGUCACUUAUAGAUGACCUUGCGGUGCAUUAGUUAGUUGGUGGGGUAACGGCCUACCAAGACGAUGAUGCAUAGCCGACCUGAGAGGGUGAUCGGCCACAUUGGGACUGAGACACGGCCCAAACUACUACGGGAGGCAGCAGUAGGGAAUCUUCCGCAAUGGGCGAAAGCCUGACGGAGCAAUGCCGCGUGAGUGAAGAAGGCCUUCGGGUCGUAAAACUCUGUUAUAAGAGAAGAACAAAUUGUAGAGUAACUGCUACAGUCUUGACGGUAUCUUAUCAGAAAGCCACGGCUAACUACGUGUCAGCCGCCGCCGUAA
rnacentral:rRNA from 1 species